CAGCAGCCACGGUAAUACAGAGGAUGCAAGCGUUAUCCGGAAUGAUUGGGCGUAAAGCGUCUGUAGGUGGCUUUUCAAGUCCGCCGUCAAAUCCUAGGGCUCAACCCUGGACAGGCGGUGGAAACUACCAAGCUGGAGUAUGAUAGGGGCAGAGGGAAUUUCCAGUGGAGUGGUGAAAUGCGUUGAGAUCGAAAAGAACACCAACGAUGAAAGCACUCUGCUGGGCCGACACUGACACUGAGAGACGAAAGCUAGGGGAGCAAAUGGGAUUAGAUACCCGUGUAGUCCCUGUCUCUUAUAC
rnacentral:rRNA from 1 species